rnacentral:rRNA from 1 species
AAAUUGAAGAGUUUGAUCAUGGCUCAGAUUGAACGCUGGCGGCAGGCCUAACACAUGCAAGUCGAGCGGCAGCGGGAAGUAGCUUGCUACUUUGCCGGCGAGCGGCGGACGGGUGAGUAAUGUCUGGGAAACUGCCUGAUGGAGGGGGAUAACUACUGGAAACGGUAGCUAAUAC